UAGGGAAUAUUAGAAAUGGACGAAAGUCUGAUCUAGCAACACCGCGUGUGCGAAGAAGGCCCUCGGGUCGUAAAGCACUUUUUGGAGGGAUGAGGAAGGACAGUACCUCCAGAAUAAGCCUCGGCUAACUACGUGCCAGCAGCCGCGGUAACACGUAGGAGGCAAGCGUUAUUCGGAUUUACUGGGCGUAAAGCGCGUGCAGGCGGUUCGGAAAGUUGGAUGUGAAAGCUCCUGGCUCAACUGGGAGAGGCCGUUCUAAACUGCAGAGCUAGAGGAUGGUAGAGGGAGGUGGAAUUCCGGGUGUAGCGGUGGAAUGCGCAGAUAUCCGGAGGAACACCAGUGGCGAAAGCGGCCUCCUGGACCAUUCCUGACACUCAGACGCGAAAGCUAGGGUAGCAAACG
rnacentral:rRNA from 1 species